rnacentral:rRNA from 1 species
UGGGGGAUAUUGCACAAUGGGGGAAACCCUGAUGCAGCGACGCCGCGUGAGGGAAGAAGGUUUUCGGAUUGUAAACCUCUGUCUUCGGUGACGAAACAAGACGGUAGCCGAGGAGGAAGCCACGGCUAACUACGUGCCAGCAGCCGCGGUAAUACGUAGGUGGCAAGCGUUGUCCGGAAUUACUGGGUGUAAAGGGAGCGUAGGCGGGAGUGCAAGUUGAAUGUGAAAACUAUGGGCUCAACCCAUAGUUGCGUUCAAAACUGCAUUUCUUGAGUGAAGUAGAGGUAAGCGGAAUUCCUAGUGUAGCGGUGAAAUGCGUAAAUAUUAGGAGGAACGCCAGUGGCGAAGGCGGCUUACUGGGCUUUAACUGACGCUGAGGCGCGAAAGCGUGGGGAGCAAACAGGAUUAGAUACCC